rnacentral:rRNA from 1 species
GACAGAGGGUGCAAACGUUGUUCGGAAUUACUGGGCGUAAAGGGCUCGUAGGUGGCCAACUAAGUCAGACGUGAAAUCCCUCGGCUUAACCGGGGAACUGCGUCUGAUACUGGAUGGCUUGAGUUUGGGAGAGGGAUGCGGAAUUCCAGGUGUAGCGGUGAAAUGCGUAGAUAUCUGGAGGAACACCGGUGGCGAAGGCGGCAUCCUGGACCGACACUGACGCUGAGGCGCGAAAGCCAGGGGAGCAAACGGG